UUCUUCGUUCAACAGUUUCCCGCCGAAGUUCAGUUUGGGACUAAGAGCGAGAAACCCUAACUCCUAGAGAUUCAAUGCAAUUCGAGUUCCAUAAUUUAUCUGCGAUCUUCGUUUUGGUGCAUUUUUUCUCUAUUUCUUGUCUUGCUGCGAUCUGUAUGGCACAGGAAAAUCCAACGUUGCCAUCAAUCGCGCCAAAUUUCAUACCUCGAUUAAUUUUCUUGUUCUGCCGCUUUCCGACACUGAAGCCUUAACUCCUAGAGAUUUAUCAUGCAAUCUGAGUUGUCGAUUACCUUCGAUCGUUGUUUUCGAUGCUUUUUUGUUCUCUAAUGCUUCGAUUGCUGCCAAGAGCAUAGAGUUUGUCAUUUUUCUUAUUAUGGAGAACUCUGCAGCAGAGGAUCUCGAAAGUCCUGAGUUAUGGAAGGUCGCUGACUCUCGAUCGUUCAUGACCGGUGCUGAUCACUCGAUCGUUCGAUUCCUGGCAAUGAAUUCGACGAGUCUAUUCUUCAGGUUGAUCGGUUGCUUCGUGAGGCUUUUCAGAAUCCUUGCAAACGCUUAACGAGUGCCCAUUGCCCUGAAGAUAUAAGGUCUGGCCCUCCGUAGAGUUAUUUGGCCUUUUAGUUCAAAGGUUUGAUGCACACUACACAUCCAGGCAUUUUUCUGCAUUCCUCUCGGUAUCUUUUCCAGCAGCCUGAAAUGCCUUUUAUUCCUCGUCAUGAGCAAGUUCGUCAUCCCCUUUCUCGUUGGAAGGUGCACGAUAGCGAAAAUCAAUCCAUCUCAAUCUACAAAAAAAAGAAAAGAAAAAAAAAAAAACAUUGCCUUGGACAUGCAACCCAAAAAUCUUGAAAGACAGAUUGCUUGAAGAAAACUCUUUUAGAGCCUGGUACAAGUCAAGCUCCUUCGAUUCGGCAACAAGAGUCGGUUAUAGAAUAGUUUUUUGGUCAGCUUUCCCAUUGUUUCAGAUGCAGCAAUGUCUAAUAUGAGGAUGCAGCAAUGUCUAAUAUGAGGUUCCUCUUGCCUCAUGACAGCUUCGAGGAUGAAACCACUAUACUUGCUUAUGUUCCUGGAGCGCUCUUUCUAUAAAAAAGAUUGAGUAGGAAAAACAAUUGGCUUCCAUCGAGAUCCCAAUCUUUUGGAUUAGCUUUGUCUCUAUAAGGGCAUCGGCUAAGCCUACACCGUUUCGUUUAAUGCUUAUUUUCCUCAAAUGGUGGGGCCGAGCACAGAGAACUGAGAAUGAUCGAGAAUGUCGAUGGAUUGAAAAUGUGCAGCAGGUCUUCUACGAAGGUAUUUGCUCUGAACAUAGCGGAGGGUAAAUUAAAAAAAUACCUUUCAAUUUACAUUUUUUUAAAUAUCAUUAUUUUUUUUUCAAAAUUUUCAAUAUUACAUUUACAUUUGACCAUAGGAGCAUUUCAAAAUUAUCAUAUUUAGAAUUCCGCGAUAGCGACCUAAAAUAAAAAUUUUUAAAUGAAAUUUGUUCAGGGUCUCAACUUUGAAAGGUUUAUACUCAAAUGGUAGUUUUAAAAUUUUUAUAAAAUAUUAAGAUAAUAUUGUAACUUUUGAAAUAAUAGUUUUUUACAUUAUUUUGUGAAUUACUAGGAGAGAAAAAAAAAAAGUAAUCUAUUAGAAGAAAACUUCGUUUAUUAGAUGACAAUUUUGUUAUCCUAAUUUUUGGUUGGUAAUUUUCUCGAUCAUCUAAUUUUAAUAUUCAUCAAUAAUAGUGGGGGAUGAAUUGAAAAUUAUUACAGAAUU